rnacentral:rRNA from 1 species
GACGAACGCUGGCGGCGUGCUUAACACAUGCAAGUCGAGCGGAAAGGCCUCCUCGGGGGUACUCGAGCGGCGAACGGGUGAGUAACACGUGAGUAAUCUGCCUCUGGCUUCGGGAUAGCCACCGGAAACGGUGAUUAAUACCGGAUACGACACAUCACUGCAUGGUGCGUGUGUGGAAAGUUUUUUCGGCCAGGGAUGUGCUCGCGGCCUAUCAGCUUGUUGGUGGGGUAAUGGCCUACCAAGGCUUCGACGGGUAGCCGGCCUGAGAGGACGAUCAGCCACACUGGGACUGAGACACGGCCCAGACUCCUACGGGAGGCAGCAGUGGGGAAUAUUGGACAAUGGGCGGAAGCCUGAUCCAGCAACGCCGCGUGAGGGAUGACGGCCUUCGGGUUGUAAACCUCUUUCAGCACCGACGAAGCGUGAGUGACGGUAGGUGCAGAAGAAGGACCGGCCAACUACGUGCCAGCCGCCGCCGUAAGAC